GGGGAUGGUCCAGCUCAGUGGCAGCGUGUGUGCUUAGCAUGCACAAGGCCCUGGGUUCAAUCCCCAGUAUCUCCG
rnacentral:tRNA from 1 species